ACAGCAGUCGCCGCGGGAAUACGAAGGGUGCAAGCGUUACUCGGAAUUACUGGGCGUAAAGCGUGCGUAGGUGGUUGUUUAAGUCUGCUGUGAAAGCCCUGGGCUCAACCUGGGAAUUGCAGUGGAUACUGGGCAACUAGAGUAAGGUAGAGGAUAGUGGAAUUUCCGGUGUAGCAGUGAAAUGCGUAGAGAUUGGAAGGAACAUCUGUGGCGAAGGCGACUAUCUGGGCCAUUACUGACACUGAGGCACGAAAGCGUGGGGAGCAAACAGGAUUAGAUACCCCUGUAGUCCCUGUCUCUUAUAC
rnacentral:rRNA from 1 species